rnacentral:rRNA from 1 species
UACGUAGGGGCUAGCGUUGUCCGGAUUUAUUGGGCGUAAAGAGCGUGUAGGCGGCCAGGUAGGUCUGGUGUGAAAACUCGAGGCUUAACCUCGAGAUGUCAUCGGAAACCAUCUGGCUAGAGUCCGGAAGAGGAGAGUGAAUUCCUGGUGUAGCGGUGAAAUGCGCAGAUAUCAGGAGGAACACCGGUGGCGAAGGCGGGUCUCUGGGCAGUACUGACGUGAGGAGCGAAAGCGUGGGGAGCGAACAGG